rnacentral:lncRNA from 1 species
CUAAUAACACAAAAAUUAGCCGGGUGUGGUGGCAGACACCUGUAAUCCCAGCUACUCUAGAGGUUGAGAAGGGAAAAUUGCUUGAAGCCGGGAAGCAGAAGUUGCAGUGAGCCGAGAUUGCGCCACUGCACUCCAGCCUGGGAGACAGAGCGAGACUCUGUCUCCAAAAAAAAUAAAAAGAAAAGAAAAAAAAGAAUCAAUGAGAAGGGGCUGCCUGCCUGACCACUGGUUGUGUGGAUCCUUCGGGAAGGAAAGCGAACAGAGGUUCCAAGUCUACAAGGGAAACAGCCCAGCCUACUCUGAAGAGCUUUGCGGGACGGCUCAUCCAAACUACUGAGCUCUAAGAACUGGAACCCUGGAAACCCCAGCAAGAGGACACCCGCUGCUGGACCAGGCCCCGAAGAAGCAGAUCAUCCUCCCUCAGAGAUCCACAGCAGCAACAUUCCAGUGAACAUUUCUUGACUGAUUUGGGAGAAAAGAUCUGGUUUGGUGAUUCCUCACGCCUUCUCUGAGGGUGAAUAUACUCUUUCCCAAGGACAGGGAAGGAAGCAGAAUCAUAAAAUCAUAUGAACAUUUUCACAAGAGGAUUCUUCUUGAAGCUUCAAGGAAAUUGCUUACAGACAGAAGAAAAUAUGUCCUUAUUGAUGAAAAGGGAGAGUAAACAUUGCAACUCUAACCUAGACACCCACAUGGGUACAAAAAAAAAACUGACAAAUGCGAACUCACAGUUGAUCACUCUAUGAAAAGGAAUUCAGAGAUGUUUGGAGCUCUUAACCUAUGAGGCCAAUUUCAUGGAAGAACUCUACCUUCUACUUCAGAGACAGAACACUGGGCUAGAUAGGAUGCUUGUCUGGCCCAAAGUGGAAUUUCUUACCAUCUGUAUACUCCCCCAAGACCCACAACAGAUGGUUACUGAGUUGAAGCUUGCCACUGAUCCUUAAUGAUGUCAACAAGCUCAGCUCUGGGAGCUGGCCCUCCAGAAGCCCAGGUCAGGGGAGCAAGGGAAAGUGGAGAUGGGAACAGAGCUCUGAUUCCUAGCCCCAUAUUUGAUACUUACUCCCUUCAAAGUCCUGUCCCUGGACUACAAAUUUAGUUCCCAGUUAGUAAUCAGAAAACCAUGAAAUAUGAGUUGCAUUUCUAAGAUGUGCCUGACUUUAGUAUGAUAUUUAAGAGAAAAGGGCAGUGGAAACCAUAAAGAAACAGCAGGAUCUUUUUUUUGUAUCUAAGAGUGGACUGAUGAAGCACCUGGCAAGGAGCAAGAGGCCUUCUUACAAAUCAAACAUUGAGACUGAGAUUCUUAAUGACUAGAGUGAGCUCUAAAGAGAAAGGUGGCUGGGCGCGGUGGCUCACACCUGUAAUCCCAGCACUUUGGGAGGCCAAGGUGGCCGGAUCACUUGAGGUCAGGAGUUUGAGACCAGCCCAGCCAACAUGGUGAAACCCCAUCUCUACGAAAAGUACAAAAAUUAGACAGGCAUGGUGGUGUGCACCUGUAAUCCCAGCUGCCAGGGAGGCUGAGGCAGGAGAAUCACCUGAACCCGGGAGGCUGCAGUUGCAGUGAGCCAGGAUCGCAUCAUUGCACUCCAGCCUAGGCGACAACAGCAAG